AUUGAACGCUGGCGGCAGGCCUAACACAUGCAAGUCGAGCGGAUGAAGGGAGCUUGCUCCUGGAUUCCGCGGCGGACGGGUGAGUAAUGCCUAGGAAUCUGCCUGGCAGUGGGGGAUAACGUCCGUAAACGGGCGCUAAUACCGCAUACGUCCUGAGGGAGAAAGUGGGGGAUCUUCGGAGCUCACGCGAUCAGAUGAGCCUAGGUCGGAUUAGCGAGUUGGUGGGGUAAAGGCCUACCAAGGCGACGAUCCGUAACUGGUCUGAGAGGAUGAUCAGUCACACUGGAACUGAGACACGGUCCAGACUCCUACGGGAGGCAGCAGUGGGGAAUAUUGGACAAUGGGCGAAAGCCUGAUCCAGCCAUGCCGCGUGUGUGAAGAAGGUCUUCGGAUUGUAAAGCACUUUAAGUUGGGAGGAAGGGCAGUAAGUUAAUACCUUGCUGUUUUGACGUUACCAACAGAAUAAGCACCGGCUAACUUCGUG
rnacentral:rRNA from 1 species